GUGCCAGCAGCCGCGGUAAUACGGAAGGUCCGGGCGUUAUCCGGAUUUAUUGGGUUUAAAGGGAGCGCAGGCGGCAUAUUAAGCGUGACGUGAAAUGCGGCGGCUCAACCGUCGAUGUGCGUCGCGAACUGGUUUGCUUGAGUGCGUGCGAGGAUGGCGGAAUUCGUGGUGUAGCGGUGAAAUGCUUAGAUAUCACGAAGAACUCCGAUUGCGAAGGCAGCUGUCCAGUCCGUAACUGACGCUAAUGCUCGAAGGUGCGGGUAUCGAACAGGAUUAGAUACCCUGGUAGUCCGCACGGUAAACGAUGGAUGCCCGCUGUCGGCGAUAUACAGUCGGUGGCUAAGCGAAAGCGUUAAGCAUCCCACCUGGGGAGUACGCCGGCAACGGUGAAACUCAAAGGAAUUGACGGGGGCCCGCACAAGCGGAGGAACAUGUGGUUUAAUUCGAUGAUACGCGAGGAACCUUACCCGGGCUUGAACUGCAGCAGAACGAAUCAGAGAUGAUGAGGUCCUUCGGGACUGCUGUGGAGGUGCUGCAUGGUUGUCGUCAGCUCGUGCCGUGAGGUGUCGGCUUAAGUGCCAUAACGAGCGCAACCCUUUCCUUCAGUUGCCAUCAGGUAAUGCUGGGCACUCUGUAGGUACUGCCACCGUAAGGUGUGAGGAAGGUGGGGAUGACGUCAAAUCAGCACGGCCCUUACGUCCGGGGCUACACACGUGUUACAAUGGGUGGUACAGAGAGUUGGGUGUACGCAAGUGCGCUCUAAUCAAGAAAGCCGCUCUCAGUUCGGAUUGGGUCUGCAACCCGACCCCAUGAAGCUGGAUUCGCUAGUAAUCGCGCAUCAGCCAUGGCGCGGUGAAUACGUUCCCGGGCCUUGUACACACCGCCCGU
rnacentral:rRNA from 1 species